rnacentral:rRNA from 1 species
AUUGAACGCUGGCGGCAGGCCUAACACAUGCAAGUCGAGCGGCAGAACGGUGAUUGCUCCUGCAUUCAGCGGCCGACGGGCGAGUAAUUCCUAGGAAUCUCCCUGUUUGUGUUUUCUAACGUCCGGACACGGGCGCUAAUACCGCAUACGCCCUGAGGGCGUACGGGGGGGAUCUUCGGACCUUACGCUAUCAGAUGAGCCUAUGUCGGAUUAGCUAGUUGGUGGGGUAAAGGCCUACCAAGGCGACGAUCCGUAACUGGUCUGAGAGGAUGAUCAGCCACACUGGAACUGAGACACGGUCCAGACUCCUACGGGAGGCAGCAGUGGGGAAUAUUGGACAAUGGGCGAAAGCCUGAUCCAGCCAUGCCGCGUGUGUGAAGAAGGUCUUCGGAUUGUAAAGCACUUUUGGUUGGAAAGAAGGGCAGUAAGUUAAUACCUUGCUGUUUUGACGGUACCCAAAGAAUAAGCACCGGCUAACUUCGUG